GACGAACGCUGGCGGCGUGCUUAACACAUGCAAGUCGAACGGAAAGGCCCGGCUUUUGUUGGGUUCUCGUUUGGCGAACGGGGGAGUAACACGUGAGUAACCUGCCCUUGUCUUUGGGAUAACUUCUGGAAACUGGGGCGAAUACCGGAUAUGAUCUCCUGCUGCGUGGGGGGGGUUGGAGAGUUUCGGCUGUUGGGUAUGGAUUCGCGGGUUAUCAGCUUCUUGGUGGGGUAGUGGUUUACCAAGGGUUUGACGGGUAGCCGGCAUGGGAGGGGUGACGGCGACCUUGGGCCUGCGAUAGGGACCAGAAUCCUACGGGAGGCAGUAGUGGGAAGUAUGGCACAAUGGGGGGAAGCCUGAUGUAGCAACGCCGGGUGCGGGAUAAUGGGUUACGGGUUGUAAACAGAUUUGGACGUUGACGAACAGUGCGUGACGGUAAUGGGUAAAGAAGCCCCGGCUAACUACGUG
rnacentral:rRNA from 1 species